AAAAAUUUCACUUUUUACUAAACUGGACCAAUACAAAGAAGAUUAGCAUGGCCCUGCACAAGGAUGACAUGUAAAAAUUUUACUUUCUCCUCCUCCAU
rnacentral:snRNA from 1 species